UACAGAGGGUGCGAACGUUGCUCGGAAUUACUGGGCGUAAAGGGCGCGUAGGCGGUCUGUUAAGUCGAACGUGAAAUCCCCGGGCUCAACCCGGGAACUGCGUCCGAUACUGGCAGGCUUGAAUCCGGGAGAGGGAUGCGGAAUUCCAGGUGUAGCGGUGAAAUGCGUAGAUAUCUGGAGGAACACCGGUGGCGAAGGCGGCAUCCUGGACCGGUAUUGACGCUGAGGCGCGAAAGCCAGGGGAGCAAACGGG
rnacentral:rRNA from 1 species